CCGACACGGGGAGGUAGUGACAAUAAAUAGCAAUGCUAGACUAAUCUUAGUCCGGCAAUUGGAAUGAGAGCAAUUUAAACCCAUCAUCGAGGAGCCAUUGGAGGGCAAGUCUGGUGCCAGCAGCCGCGGUAAUUCCAGCUCCAAUAGCGUAUAUUAAAGUUGUUGCAGUUAAAAAGCUCGUAGUCUGACCGUUGAUCGGCAUUGAGCGUCCGUGGCUACUGGUCAUGUGUACGCGAGGUGCUGGUCACUACCUUCGGAGGAGCGUUCGUGCUUUUAACUAAGUGCGUGCGGGAUUCCGAUAGUUUACUUUGAGAAAAAUAGAGUGUUCAAAGCAGGCGUUUGCCUUGAAUACAUUAGCAUGGGAUAAUGAAAUAGGACGUUGGUUCUAUUUUGAUGGUUUACGGACCGACGUAAUGAUUAAUAGGGACAGUUGGGGACAUUUAUAUUCCAUGGCUAGAGGUGAAAUUCUUGGAUUCAUGGAAGAUAAACUACUGC
rnacentral:rRNA from 1 species